rnacentral:rRNA from 1 species
GACAGAGGGGGCAAGCGUUGCUCGGAAUUAUUGGGCGUAAAGCGCGCGCAGGCGGUCCUUUAAGUCUGAUGUGAAAUCCCGUGGCUUAACCACGGGCGGUCAUUGGAAACUGGGGGACUUGAGUGCAGAAGAGAAGAGCGGAAUUCCACGUGUAGCGGUGAAAUGCGUAGAGAUGUGGAGGAACACCAGUGGCGAAGGCGGCUCUUUGGUCUGUAACUGACGCUGAGGCGCGAAAGCGUGGGGAGCGAACAGG